rnacentral:tRNA from 1 species
UAUUUACAUAAUAUAAAAAUUAUACUUAACUUCCAAUUAAGAAAUCUAAUACUUUAGUGUAAAU